UACAGCUUGGCACUGAACAUUGACCCUACAUGUGUAGGAUAGGUGGGAGGCUUUGAAGCAGAAACGCUAGUUUUUGUGGAGCCGUCCUUGAAAUACCACCCUUGUAGUGUUGAUGUUCUAACGUUGGCCCCUAAUCGGGGUUACGGACAGUGCCUGGUGGGUAGUUUGACUGGGGCGGUCUCCUCCCAAAGAGUAACGGAGGAGCACGAAGGUUGGCUAAGUACGGUCGGACAUCGUACGGUUAGUGUAAUGGUAGAAGCCAGCUUA
rnacentral:rRNA from 1 species